rnacentral:rRNA from 1 species
CAAUAGCGUAUAUUAAAGUUGUUGCAGUUAAAAAGCUCGUAGUUGGAUUUGUGGUUGAUCGGAGUCGCCCUUCAUUCGUGUUGGUGUGUACUUUGGUCGCCAUCCUUGGGUGGAAUCUGUGUGGCAUUAGGUUGUCGUGCAGGGGAUGCCCAUCUUUUACUGUGAAAAAAUUAGAGUGUUCAAAGCAGGCUUACGCCGUUGAAUAUAUUAGCAUGGAAUAAUAAGAUAGGACCUCGGUACUAUUUUGUUGGUUUGCGCACUGAGGUAAUGAUUAAUAGGGACAGUUGGGGGUAUUCGUAUUCCAUUGUCAGAGGUGAAAUUCUUGGAUUUUUGGAAGACGAACUACUGCGAAAGCAUUUACCAAGGAUGUUUUCAUUAA